AUGGCGUUCUGAAUACUGCUUAAUUUCUUAUUUGUAGAGGUACAGAGCUGAAGCCUGUUAGAUGUCGUUUACGGCAUUUUCCAGAGGCAAAUAAUGAGGGCUCAGGGAUACCUUGGUAGCAGCUAAAUUACUAGUGAAGGUUUUUCAUGAGUUUAAAAGUGUUCUUGGACCUUCAGAUAUGGAACCUGGGGACCAGUGGGGCAAAGAAGAAUUAACAGCACCUACAUAGCUCUGAUUAUGUCAAGCACUUCGUCUAAAUGUUUGCACAGAUGAACUCAUUUAAGCCCCAGAACAACUCCGUGAGUAACCUUAACAUCUGGACGCAGACAGCCCCAGCAAUCCUGGAGGAAACCUUGGAAAUACGCGGGUCAUCUUCUAUGAAGACCACAGCAGCCCUGAGAAACCAAUACAGCGUUCCAAUCUUUAAAAGAAGAGCCAAACGUCAUGCCUGGAUUAUUCCAGAAUUUUGCUGCUACGAACAAUGCUGCUAAGAUGAGUGUCUUCAAUCACUUGCACAAUUGUUUCUCUAGUCUAUAAUAUAUUCCUUGGAGUGGAGAUGCCAAGUCAUAAAUAUGUAAGAGUUCAACUUCCAUAGGCAUCACCACAACGUUUUCCAAUGUGGUUUGCGAAUGCACACUUCCACCAGCAUUCGAUUAGCAUUCCCUUUGUUCCACACACUUGUGCAUACCUGGCAUGGUCAGAGUCUAAUUUUUUCCAGUUUAGUGAAUUAAAAUGA
rnacentral:lncRNA from 1 species